GAAUCAACGCUGGCGGCGUGCCCCAGACAUGCAAGUCGAACGAUUAAGACUUCCUUCGGGAAGUGCAUAAAGUGGCGCACGGGUGAGUAACACGUAAGUAAUCUACCCUCGAGUGGGGAAUAACAUCGGGAAACCGAUGCUAAUACCGCAUAACGCAGCGGCACCGCAAGGUGACAGUUGUUAAAGGAGUAAUUCGCUUGAGGAGGAGCUUGCGGCAGAUUAGCUAGUUGGUAAGGUAACGGCUUACCAAGGCUACGAUCUGUAUCCGGUCUAAGAGGACGGUCGGACACACUGACACUGAAUAACGGGUCAGACUCCUACGGGAGGCAGCAGUCGGGAAUUUUGGGCAAUGGGCGAAAGCCUGACCCAGCAACGCCGCGUGAAGGAUGAAGUAUUUCGGUAUGUAAACUUCGAAAGAAUGGGAAGAAUAAAUGACGGUACCAUUUAUAAGCUCCGGCUAACUACGUGCCAGCAGCCGCGGUAAUACGGAGGGUGCAAGCGUUAUCCGGAUUCACUGGGUUUAAAGGGUGCGUAGGAGGGCAGGUAAGUCAGUGGUGAAAUCCCCGUGCUUAACAUGGGAACUGCCGUUGAUACUCUCUGUCUCGAAUCCCGUGGAGGUGAGCGGAAUAUGUCAUGUAGCGGUGAAAUGCUUAGAUAUGACAUAGAACACCGAUUGCGAAGGCAGCUCGCUACACGGGUAUUGACUCUGA
rnacentral:rRNA from 1 species